rnacentral:rRNA from 1 species
CCCAGGGGGCCAAUCUUUUUUCGGAAUUAUUGGGCCAAAACCCCCCCCCGGGGGUUUUCUCCUUAGAUUUUGGGAUCUGGCUCAGGACGAACGCGGGCGGCGUGCCUAAUACAUGCAAGUCGAGCGGACCAAAGAAGAGCUUGCUCUUCGGCGGUUAGCGGCGGACGGGUGAGUAACACGUAGGCAACCUGCCUGUACGAGUGGGAUAACUCCGGGAAACCGGAGCUAAUACCGGAUACGUUUUUCAGACCGCAUGGUCUGAAAGAGAAAGACCUUUGGUCACGUACAGAUGGGCCUGCGGCGCAUUAGCUAGUUGGUGGGGUAACGGCCUACCAAGGCGACGAUGCGUAGCCGACCUGAGAGGGUGAUCGGCCACACUGGGACUGAGACACGGCCCAGACUCCUACGGGAGGCAGCAGUAGGGAAUCUUCCGCAAUGGACGAAAGUCUGACGGAGCAACGCCGCGUGAACGAUGAAGGUUUUCGGAUCGUAAAGUUCUGUUGUUAGGGAAGAACCGCCGGGAUGACCUCCCGGUCUGACGGUACCUAACGAGAAAGCCCCGGCUAACUACGUGCCAGCAGCCGCGGUAAUACGUAGGGGGCAAGCGUUGUCCGGAAUUAUUGGGCGUAAAGCGCGCGCAGGCGGCUUCUUAAGUCAGGUGUGAAAGCCCACGGCUCAACCGUGGAGGGCCACUUGAAACUGGGAGGCUUGAGUGCAGGAGAGGAGAGCGGAAUUCCACGUGUAGCGGUGAAAUGCGUAGAGAUGUGGAGGAACACCCGUGGCGAAGGCGGCUCUCUGGCCUGUAACUGACGCUGAGGCGCGAAAGCGUGGGGAGCGAACAGGAUUAGAUACCCUGGUAGUCCACGCCGUAAACGUUGAGUGCUAGGUGUUGGGGACUCCAAUCCUCAGUGCCGCAGCUAACGCAAU